UGUUGUUUAAAGUUUGAGACGAGAUUGUUCUCAUAACUUAAUUAUAGUUUCACAAAUUCUAGAGAAAAUGAUACUCACAAGUAAGUUAUAAUCUUCAAGCUCCAUACAAGAUGAUGUUCAAAAUUCAGAUGUGGUAUUUCAAACUCCAAAGAAUAUGAUUUUCAAAAUUUUGACGUUCAAAUGUUAUAUGUGGUCUUUAGAGCUUCAUAUGAUUAUCUGGUUUUAUUAGGUCCAUAUGAGAUGAUACUCAGAUGACAUAUGUUUAGUUAAAUUAUUUCUUAUCCGUCAAAUUUAAAGAAUUUGAACAAACUUAAUACUCCCUC
rnacentral:lncRNA from 1 species